rnacentral:rRNA from 2 species
GAGAAGGGUUUCGGCUCGUAAAGCUCUGUUGUUAAAGAAGAACACGUAUGAGAGUAACUGUUCAUACGUUGACGGUAUUUAACCAGAAAGUCACGGCUAACUACGUGCCAGCAGCCGCGGUAAUACGUAGGUGGCAAGCGUUAUCCGGAUUUAUUGGGCGUAAAGAGAGUGCAGGCGGUUUUCUAAGUCUGAUGUGAAAGCCUUCGGCUUAACCGGAGAAGUGCAUCGGAAACUGGAUAACUUGAGUGCAGAAGAGGGUAGUGGAACUCCAUGUGUAGCGGUGGAAUGCGUAGAUAUAUGGAAGAACACCAGUGGCGAAGGCGGCUACCUGGUCUGCAACUGACGCUGAGACUCGAAAGCAUGGGUAGCGAACAGGAUUAGAUACCCUGGUAGUCCAUGCCGUAAACGAUGAGUGCUAGGUGUUGGAGGGUUUCCGCCCUUCAGUGCCGGAGCUAACGCAUUAAGCACUCCGCCUGGGGAGUACGACCGCAAGGUUGAAACUCAAAGGAAUUGACGGGGGCCCGCACAAGCGGUGGAGCAUGUGGUUUAAUUCGAAGCUACGCGAAGAACCUUACCAGGUCUUGACAUCUUGCGCCAACCCUAGAGAUAGGGCGUUUCCUUCGGGAACGCAAUGACAGGUGGUGCAUGGUCGUCGUCAGCUCGUGUCGUGAGAUGUUGGGUUAAGUCCCGCAACGAGCGCAACCCUUGUUACUAGUUGCCAGCAUUAAGUUGGGCACUCUAGUGAGACUGCCGGUGACAAACCGGAGGAAGGUGGGGACGACGUCAGAUCAUCAUGCCCCUUAUGACCUGGGCUACACACGUGCUACAAUGGACGGUACAACGAGUCGCGAACUCGCGAGGGCAAGCAAAUCUCUUAAACCGUUCUCA